GGCUGUGGCUCAGUGGUAGAGCGCUUGCCUAGCGUAUAGAGGCACCGGGUUCAAUUCUCAGCACCA
rnacentral:tRNA from 1 species